UCGAAAUUUUGAAGAAUAUAUUCAAGGAUUUAUUCGAGAUAAUCCUAUUCACAUAUGUUGUGAACUCAUGGAAAACAGACCGCCUUCUGAUAAUGAUGACGAUGAUGAUGAUGAUGAUGAUGAUGAUGAUGAUGAUGAGGAGGAGGAAUCGAAAGAAAUUAUACAAUUGGGUUAUUUUAAUCCCGAACUUUUAGCCAAAAUUGCUGAAUCCCUUGGGGAACCUGUACCCGGGUUGGUGCGAAUAGUUGGUUGUGUUAAUAGAAAAUUGAAAAUUGUAAAGGAAACUAAAGAAUGAUAAACUUGCAACUAAAUAAAUAUAAAACAUCAACAUAUUUGUUUAUUUACCUUAAAUAUAAUUUCCUACAUUUAAGUAUAGCUUUUUCAUUAAUUAUUUCAAGCUGUCUCUGCUAUUUUUUUUUUUUUUGUUAAUAAGAACUUAAACUUUUUACUUUUAAUAUUGUAUUUUUUACAAUUUUUGUUUUAUUUUUGCAUGAUGUUAUAUAAUUGGGUUACUUUAAUCCCAAAGUUUUAGCCAAAAUAGCUGAAUCCCUUGGGGAACCUGUACUCGGGUUGGUGCGAAUAGUUGAUUGUAUUAAUAGAAAAUUGUAAACCAAACUAAAUAAAUAUAAAACAUCAACAUAUUUGUUUAUUUACCUUAAAUAUAAUUUCCUACAUUUAAGUAUAGCUUUUUCAUUAAUUAUUUUAAACUGUCUCUGUUAUUUUUUUUGUUAAUAAAAACUUAAACUAUUUACUUUUAAUAUUGUAUUUUUUACAAUUUUUGUCGAUUUAGUAGAAUUAGAUAAACAAUUUUAUUUAUUGUAACUAAUAUGUUGUGAUAUGUUACAACAUUACAAUAAAAAUAAAGUAUUUAUUAUGUGUAUUGAUGUUGAUAUGACAUUGAGAAGUGAUUUUU